UUUUAACCCCAUCUUGAACUUGAGCUAAAUAAUCAUGUCAUGUCCCAUCCUGAUGUAAAUGGAUGCCUCUGAUGAAAAAAUUCUAGAGGGCGACUCAAGUUAUUUUAGGGAAAAUUUUCUUGAUUAGUGGGCUAGUUAAUAAUGAAAGAUGUUGUCACAAGCUACUAGAUUGAAAUUGGAUUCAAAUAUACAUUAAAGAAACAUAUUUGAAGUCCAAUUAACAAUAACCAGCAACAUAAACCUUUUGAGAGUCCGAGACAUGAUGACAUAAAUCAAUAAGAUAUGGCAUGAAAUAAAUUGAAAAACCAUCCAUUGUAUUUUUUUUUAUCACACAUUGCUUUUGUUUUGUGUUCAAUAAACAUUGGAAAGUCUUUUUCACUUUUAAGUGGUUAGUAGUUUAUAUUGCUAAUCUUUGUUGCUCGCCUUUGUGGUUUAAUGUUGACUUCAAAGCGAAGAGUCUUAGCUUGAUGUCAACGCACUGUGUAACCCCCCUCCCCGCUCUUCUCUCUGAUGGCGACUUCAAUUAUGCUUUGGAUCAGGUAAGUUAAACUCUUGAAUGAGAUGCUGUGGUGGAUAAGUUUGUGAUGUUUUUUAUUCUGUCCCCUUUACCCUUUUUGAACUACUAUAAUUUAUAUAAAAGGGAGGUACUUCAUUGGUGCUGUAAGAUAUAUAUGUACCCACAGUAGAUUUGAAUUUUAUGCUUUUGUUGUUUUAUACUUGGCAAUGGAAUUCUUACAAACACUGUCAAUGGUUUACCGUUUAUGACUUCUUGUGAAAUGCGUCACAAUGAGAUGAAUAGGCAUUGCAUUUGCUGAACUUUCUGCAGAAUUUAUUAUGUCUACUAGUGAACUUGUUCGUACUUUUUACUGGAAUACGCAUUUUGGGAGACUGCCACACUCCAUCUAUGAGGCUGUUUAUUGUAACUGACAAGGCAGCAUGGUUGACAGAUUUUGGAUUUUGCAGUUAAAUACAAGGUAGCUACUCUUGCAGGACAGAUCCGACUUUGCACCCUCUUAGCCUUGUUGCUACAGCUGAAGCAUCACGCUAGCAAGAAGUUAUGGGAUCACCACCAUCACUCUACUCUAUGCUUGUUUUAAGCGCAUCAUUAUAAAUGAAUUUUCAGACUAAACAGAGACAAGUUGAAAAGGAUGGGAACACCCUCUUUUCUCAUGGUUUUCCUCUGUUUGAUUGGAUUGGUAUGUUUUCUGCUCAACCCGGGCUCAACUCUGCAAUCCCACAAUGUGAGGUAAAAUUCUUUCCCAUCUUCAGUGCUCUAUUCGGGUCCUAGUUGUCGUUCUCAAAAAUCAUCCAGAUGCAGUACUGGCGACACAAGGUGCUCCACUGCAUCUAAUUUAUUGUAGCAGAUCUAUGGAUAUGGAGGGCUUAACAACCUGCGUCGAUGGGUUCUUUCUAAAUUUACGAGAGCUUUUUGGCACCACCACCACCACCACCACCACCACAACUGAUGCUCCGAGCUCGUAUUCAUUAUUCCUUCUACAACAUAUGGAUAAUGUGUUCAUUUUCACUCGAAAUUGAAUCCAUAGAUGCCAAAUAAUUAUAGGAAAUAAAAGAGCUUUUGCACUCCAGGCCCAAUAAAUCAUUGUAGACUUGUACUCCCUCCGUUUCAUAACAAUGGUGUUAUUUUGCUA